rnacentral:lncRNA from 12 species
AACAGGAACCGCGUUGGUGCCACCCGGCCGGCGUCACGCGUGUCCCCACGCCCCCAGGGGACAGGCAGGGCUGAGGGCUCUGUCCUUGUGUGUCCCUGAUCCUGUCCCCAUCCUUGUCCCUGUCCCCAGUCCUGAUCCUGUCGCUGGACUGGUCCCUGUGUCUGUCCCCGGUCCUAUCCUCCAUCCUGUCCCCAUCCUUGUCCCUGUCUC